ensembl:rRNA 5S_rRNA 5S ribosomal RNA
UGCUACAGCUAUAUCACCCUGCAGCUGAAGACCGGUUACUCACAGUAGCUAAGCAGGGCUGAGCCUGGUCAGUACUUGGAUGGGAAACGACAUGGGAAAACUAGGUUGCUGUUAAAA